UACGUAGGGCGCAAGCGUUGUCCGGAAUUAUUGGGCGUAAAGAGCUCGUAGGCGGCUUGUCACGUCGAUUGUGAAAGCCCGAGGCUUAACCUCGGGUCUGCAGUCGAUACGGGCUAGCUAGAGUGUGGUAGGGGAGAUCGGAAUUCCUGGUGUAGCGGUGAAAUGCGCAGAUAUCUGGAGGAACACCGGUGGCGAAGGCGGCAUCCUGGACCGGUAUUGACACUGAGGCGCGAAAGCCAGGGAGCAA
rnacentral:rRNA from 1 species